CCAGACUCCUACGGGAGGCAGCAGUGGGGAAUAUUGGGCAAUGGGCGCAAGCCUGACCCAGCAACGCCGCGUGAAGGAAGAAGGCUUUCGGGUUGUAAACUUCUUUUAUCAGGGACGAAGCAAGUGACGGUACCUGAUGAAUAAGCCACGGCUAACUACGUGCCAGCAGCCGCGGUAAUACGUAGGGGGCGAGCGUUAUCCGGAUUCACUGGGUGUAAAGGGAGCGUAGACGGCCAUGCAAGCCAGGGGUGAAAGCCCGGGGCCCAACCCCGGGACUGCCCUUGGAACUGCAUGGCUGGAGUGCGGGAGGGGCAGGCGGAAUUCCUGGUGUAGCGGUGAAAUGCGUAGAUAUUAGGAGGAACACCAGUGGCGAAGGCGGCUUACUGGACUGUAACUGACGUUGAGGCUCGAAGGCGUGGGGAGCGAACAGGAUUAGAUACCCGAGUA
rnacentral:rRNA from 1 species